CCUACGGGAGGCAGCAGUAGGGAAACUUCCACAAUGGACGCAAGUCUGAUGGAGCAACGCCGCGUGAGUGAAGAAGGGUUUCGGCUCGUAAAGCUCUGUUGUUAAAGAAGAACGUGGGUAAGAGUAACUGUUUACCCAGUGACGGUAUUUAACCAGAAAGCCACGGCUAACUACGUGCCAGCAGCCGCGGUAAU
rnacentral:rRNA from 1 species